UAGUACACUUAAAUUUAAUUUAUAAAUAUUAGAAUAUUAAGAGUUAUAUUCUUUAAAUUUAAAAAAUUUGGCGGUGUUUUAGUCUAGUUAGAGGAACCUGUAUUAUAAACGACAUAACACGCAUUAUUUUACUUAUUUUGGUAAACAGUUUGUAUACCGUCAUUAUUAGAUAAUUUAUGAGAAAAUAUUAUUGGGAUCAUGUUAUUGAGUAUAUUAGAUCAAGGUGCAGCUUAUAAAUAAGUAGAUAUGGGUUACAAUAAAAUUUAUUUAAUAUGGAUUUAAUAUUUAAAUAUGUUUAUGAAGGAGGAUUUAAUUGUAAGGAAAGGAGUAGUAAGAUUUUCUGAUAAAAGCUCUAAAUUAU
rnacentral:rRNA from 1 species